GGAUUGUCCCCUCCUGUUCUUACCUUCUUACUAGCAGUCAAUAGCUCCUGGUAUGCAGUCUGGGACAGAGAAAAGGUGGAUGUAGUGAGUGUAGAAGAAAGGGGACACACUAGUAGAAAGACCAAAACAGCAAGAUCAUGUGUUCAAAGUCAGCUAUACCUUAACUAAUUUCAUUAUCCGUUUUCCACACAAUUUUGUUCCCC